GCUGGGCGUGGCGGCUCAUGCCUGUAAUCCCAGUACUUUGGGAGGCUGAGGUGGGUGGAUCACCUGAGGUCAGGAGUUUGAGACCAGCCUGGCCAACAUGGUGAAACCCCAUCUCUA
rnacentral:SRP_RNA from 1 species